UACGUAGGGGGCGAGCGUUAUCCGGAAUUAUUGGGCGUAAAGAGUGCGUAGGUGGUUACCUAAGCGCAAGGUUUAAUCUUGAGGCUCAACCUCAUUCUGCCUUGCGAACUGGGAUACUUGAGUGCAGGAGGGGAAAGCGGAAUUCCCAGUGUAGCGGCGAAAUGCGUAGAUAUUGGGAAGAACACCGGUGGCGAAGGCGGCUUUCUGGACUGUAACUGACACUGAGGCACGAAAGCGUGGGGAGCAAACAGGAUUAGAUACCCUGGUAGUCCCUGA
rnacentral:rRNA from 1 species